GGCGGCGUGCUUAACACAUGCAAGUCAAGGGGAAGAGUUCAGCAAUGGACUUGGACACUGGCGCACGGGUGAGUAAAAUAUAAGUAAUCUACCUACGGGAUUGGAAUAACGUCGAGAAAUUGGCGCUAAUACCGAAUAAUGCAGCGGCACCACAAGGUGAUGUUGUUAAAGUUGCUGUAAGGCAACGCCUGUAGAUGAGCUUGUAACUGAUUAGCUAGUUGGCGGGAUAAUAGCCCACCAAGGCGACGAUCAGUAGCUGGUCUGAGAGGAUGAUCAGCCACACUGGAACUGAGACACGGUCCAGACUCCUACGGGAGGCAGCAGUGAGGAAUAUUGGGCAAUGCCCGCAAGGGUGACCCAGCAACGCCGCGUGAAUGAUGAAGGUCGUAAGAUCGUAAAGUUCUUUUGGAGAAGACGAAAGGUAUAUGUAGGAAAUGGCAUAUAUUUGACUGUAUUCUCAGAAAAAGCCCCGGCUAACUACGUG
rnacentral:rRNA from 1 species